rnacentral:tRNA from 1 species
GCCGAGGUGGCGGAAUUGGCAGACGCGCUGGACUUAGAAUCCAGUGGGCAACCGUGGGGGUUCGAGUCCCCCCCUCGGCACCA